GACGAACGCUGGCGGUGCGCCUAACACAUGCAAGUCGAACGGUGAACCGGGCUUCGGCCCGGGGAUCAGUGGCGAACGGGUGCGUAACACGUGGGCAACCUGCCCCCGACCCUGGGAUAACCCCGGGAAACCGGAGCUAAUACCGGAUACUCUCCUCUGACCACCUGGUCGGAUGAGGAAAGGUCCGCCGGUCGGGGAUGGGCCCGCGGCCUAUCAGCUUGUUGGUGGGGUAACGCCUACCAAGGCAUCGACGGGUAGCUGGCUGAGAGGACGACCAGCCACACUGGGACUGAGACACGGCCCAGACUCCUACGGGAGGCAGCAGUGGGGAAUCUUGCGCAAUGGGCG
rnacentral:rRNA from 1 species